UUUGCCCAGCAGCUGUCACCUCACAGCACCUUUUCCGGUUUCCGUCGCUCCACAGCCAGUCCAGGAAGUGGGUGGUAUGAUCGCAGUUACAGGAGCUCAGAGAGGGAAGCUGUCUCCCCAGGGUCACACAGGAAGUAGGAAGCAGGUCAGAGUUUCACCCCAGGAGUGUCUGACCCCAAAGUCCAUGCUGGUUCCUGUGGGGCCUGCUCUGUCCAAGGUGCCCGAGCACCAGAGGAGCAGGGGCUGAGCCCGGCACUGAGGUCGCUGGAGCAAACAACACAGUGUUGUCAUGAGCUCAUCUGCUCCACCUUGCUCCACCCUGUUCCUAAUCUGGGCUCCUGACCUCGGCAACUCAUUUCCCAGGCAACCGGAGUGAUGCAACAAACAGAGUCGCCAACUGGGAGCUGAGCCUGCCCCGGGCAGGAUUGGCCAGGCGAGCCCAGGACAGUGGCUGACGUCCACGGGGCUCCAGCCCAGAACGUUCCUUUCACAGAGUUAGCACCAUGUGCCCUGAUGAGCCAUAGGAACCCAACACUCGUCCUGGUGGGGCCACCUAGAGCCAGAAGCCUUGGAAGAGGCCGGUGAUCCGCCCUGGUCACCGGACACCUGCUGCAUGGACCCAGGUUCCAUGCGCGGCCCUGAGAAUUACUAACUCGGCCCAUGUUUCAUCAGGUAGUCCUUCACUCCGGAUGCGCCCAGCCUCUGACCCCUUCCUACUCCCUCCCACGCCUCCACAUGGAUCUGAGACUGUCACAGCACAGGCUGCUUUAUCUGACCCCGCAGUCUUUAUUCAAUUAUUGUUUAUUUUUAUUAUGGUGCAAGAUCUAAACUGCCCAUCGUUUCUGCAGCUCAGUGGCAUUAAAAACAUUCACAAUGUUGCACAACCAUCUCCACUGUCUCCAAAACUUGUCAUCAUCGCAAACAGAAAGUGUAAACAUCAGGCCUUACUGCCCCGUUCCUCCCACCCCCCAGGCUUCGCGACUUCUGCUUCCCGUCUCGGAAUGCCCCCACUGUAGGCAUUCCCACCAAGUGGAACCACACAGUCUGUCCCUGUGUCUGGUUUCUUUCACGUAGCGUGCUGCUAUCAAGGUUCGUAUUGGGACUUCAUUCCAUGGCUGGAAUGGGGGACUGUAGAUCAGCUAUGGGAGCGAUGGACACUCCACCUUCCAUUCAAACCCAACAGCCAGAGUGGCCCCGGGGAAUUACUAUCCAGGGGCUGGCAUGCUUCACUCAAGCCCUCCCAUGGCUCCUUAGUAGUCCAAUGAGAGCAGAAGCUGCAGUUCUUGUAAUGGCUACAGAACCCUACAGCCCUCCACACAAGCACUGCCCACUGAACCUCCCAGCCUCACCAUCCCCGCUCUCCCCACUCUAUGUGCCCCAGGCACACUGCACCCCAGGCACACUGCACCCCAGGGCCUUGGCUCUCACUGUCCCUUCUUCCCCCAGUCACCUGCCUGAUCUGACCCUUCCCCUCCUUCAAGGUUUGCUCAAAUGUUACCGCAUGACUCAGCACCCUAUUUAAAAAUACAAAUGCCCCCCCUCCAGCCUUGGUUCCCCUGUCACAUCUGUUUUUUUUUUUUAAGAUUUAUUUUAUUUAUUUGAAAGACUGUUACAGAGAGAGGUCGAGACAGAGAGAGGUCUGCCAUCCACUGGUUCACUCCCAGAUAACUGCAACAGCCAGAGCUGCGUCGAUCCGAAGCCAGGAGCCAGGAGCCAGGAGCUUCCUCUAGGUCUCCCAUGUGGGUGCAGGGGCCCAAAGACUUGGGCCAUCUUCUCCUGCUUUUCCAGGCCAUAGCAGAGAGCUGGAUCAGAAGAGGAGCAGCUGAGACGCGAACCGGCAUCCACAUGGGAUGCUGGCGCUUCAGACCAGGGCUUUAACCCACUACGCCACAGCACCGGCUUCGACAUCUAUUUUUUUCUAUAGUAUUUGUCCCUUCCUAAAAUGCUAUGUAACCUAUCUAUUAUUUCCACUGUUUAUCGCCUGCUUCCACCUAUAGAGCGUAAGUUGUGCAGGGGAAGAACUGCCUCGCCUGUGUGGCUCUGCCCUGCAUCAGACGUACCCCAAACAGUGGCUGAUGUGCAGUAGGCACUCAGUAAAUGCUUGCUGAGUGACUGCAUAUGUGUGGAGGACCAGCUCUGAGCCUCGGGGAGUAAUCUGAGGAUGAAGACACGAAGCAGAGUUUCCUUUUAUUAAGAGCUUCCCACGUGUGUCAGGCUCGUUUUACCGUGUGCCAGCUGCUCUCGGCGUGCUAGCCUCGCCAGAAAGCAGGAACUGGGUGUUAGUGCUGUCUUCUAACUGAUGGGGAGUCUCAGAGGUCAGGCCAUCGGCUUGCAGCCACGGCUCCGUCUCCAGGGAUUCCCCCCCCGCUCAACCCAGAAAAGAUCCAAGAGGGUGCUUCGUAGGUGGCUUGGCAAGCACCCCACCAGCCCUCGCGCCUGUGCCCUCCGCGCGAGCAGCGAGACACGGCAGGAAUAAGGCAUCGGUGGAGGCCGCACUGGAGAUCCCGAGGGCUUGCAUUGCCAACAAAGAUAAAUGAAGGAACCACGCGGCAAACCAGGGCACUUCCACCCCAGAGCAGAGCUGUCGCUGGUAAAUAAAUCA